rnacentral:rRNA from 1 species
ACUUCGGUCCUGAGUAAAGUGGCGCACGGGUGAGUAACGCGUAGAUAACCUGUCUUCAUGUCUGGAAUAAUACGCCAAAGGGGUACUAAUACCGGAUAUUCUUGCUUUUCAUAAGUUAUGCAAGCAAAGGUGGCCUCUGCAUAUGCUACUGCAUGAAGAGGGGUCUGCGUACCAUUAGCUAGUAGGUGGGGUAAUGGCCUACCUAGGCGACGAUGGUUAGCGGGUCUGAGAGGAUGAUCCGCCACACUGGCACUGGAACACGGGCCAGACUCCUACGGGAGGCAGCAGUGAGGAAUAUUGCGCAAUGGGGGAAACCCUGACGCAGCGACGCCGCGUGAGUGAGGAAGGCCUUCGGGUCGUAAAGCUCUGUCAAGAGGAAAGAAGUGUACAAUGGCUAAUACCUGUUGUAUUUGACGGUACCUCUAAAGGAAGCACCGGCUAACUCCGUGCCAGCCGCGGC